rnacentral:rRNA from 1 species
UGGGGAAUUUUGGACAAUGGGCGCAAGCCUGAUCCAGCAAUGCCGCGUGCAGGAUGAAGGCCUUCGGGUUGUAAACCGCUUUUGUCAGGGAAGAAACGAGUUUCUCUAAUACAGAGACUUAAUGACGGUACCUGAAGAAUAAGCACCGGCUAACUACGUGCCAGCAGCCGCGGUAAUACGUAGGGUGCAAGCGUUAAUCGGAAUUACUGGGCGUAGAGCGUGCGCAGGCGGUUAUAUAAGACAGAUGUGAAAUCCCCGGGCUCAACCUGGGAACUGCAUUUGUGACUGUAUAGCUAGAGUACGGCAGAGGGGGAUGGAAUUCCGCGUGUAGCAGUGAAAUGCGUAGAUAUGCGGAGGAAUACCGAUGGCGAAGGCAAUCCCCUGGGCCUGCACUGACGCUCAUGCACGAAAGCGUGGGGAGCAAACA